CUGAGGUGGUGGAGAGGUCACUGAGGGGGAUGUGGUGGCACUGGGCACUUGUGAGGGGCUGAGGUCCUGGACAGGUCACUCUGAGGGGAUGUGGUGGCACUGGACCCUCAUGAGGGGCUGAGGUGGUGGACUGGUCACUCUGAGGUGGCACUGGGCACUUGUGAGGGGCCGAGGUCCUGGACAGGUCAGUCUGAAGGGAUGUGGUGGCACUGGACACUCCUGAGGGGAUGGGGAGGCCGAGGUGGGUGACCCUGUGUUGACCAUGGGGUCACUGUGCCCACCAUGAGCUGUCAGCUCUGCCUGUUCCCUUGGAACUGCCCCCCUGUUGGGGUUAAGUGGGAAUUAAGGAUGAGGAAUUGCAGGAAUUCCUGCUCCAGCUGUAAUUCCUGUCACACUUGCAAUAGCCCUGAGUGGAAGCUGAGCUGCUCUGGGCCUGCUAGGAUUCUCUGAGGUCAGAGAGGGGAGCAUCACAUUUCUACCUUUAAAUACAAAAGACUUUGGAUUUACCCUCAUUCUGUUCGAUCAGCACACAAUAAAUCCCUUUUAUGAGAAAUCUGUGUGUUGGGAAAGGCUGGAUAUGAAGUCCCUCUUCCCCUCCACGUUGAGAUGCAAAUAUAUAUCUUCUCUUAUAAAUAACUUGCAUUUUAUAUUCUUGCUUUUGGUGUAGGAUAAAGCCCAGCCUGAAUCAAUGUAUUCCAGAUCUGCAACUGCUGGGCUGAAACGAUGGAGACUGGAAAACAUCCCUGUCCUGGGAAUAUUGUGCAGCAAAAGGAGGAGGAAAAAACAAAUCCAGAGAAUCCACUUCUGCAGAGAGACUGAAUUAAUCUUGGUUUUGAGUAGAAUAAACUGUUCAGACCAAAGAGAACGGGGAGAAAGCGUGAAAUAACAUUUGAGGAUGAAAGUGGAACCAGAGUGGCGUGGAACAAAAAAAGCCCAGUACAAAGCCAGGGUUAAAUCCAUAGGGAAAAAUUUGGGAUUGAGUUUUUCCAGUGCAGCUGGGCCAUUUCUCCUGAGCUGCCACGAGAGGGACACAGAAGGAAAGCAAAAGGAGCUGGGAAGGGAAGAAUCCGAGGAAGAGCUCGAGGUGGGAUCACAGCAGCACAUUUCCCUUUUGUUUGGGAAUCACAGCAUUCCUACAGCUCCCAUAAAAUCCCUAAAAAAAUCCCUAAAAUCCUGAAUUCAUCCCGUAAAAUCCUAAAAGAUCUC
rnacentral:lncRNA from 1 species